rnacentral:misc_RNA from 1 species
GAUGAAGAACGUAGCGAAUUGCGAUAAGUAAUGUGAAUUGCAGAAUUACGUGAAUCAUCGAAUCUUUGAACGCAUAUUGCACUCUCUGGUAAUCCGGGGAGUAUGCCUGUUUGAGGGUCAGUAAAUAAUAAUUAUCAUAAUCUUUUGAUUAUGGAAUUGGGCUUUUAUUUCAUUAAUGAUUUAUGGCCUCAAAUUUACGUUACGCUUGUUUAUGAAAUUCGACCGAAUGGAGCAAUUAAACAUUUCUCUCGUUAGGCCGGGAUUCAUCAAGCAAUUACGAUUUUUUGGCCGUCGAGGGACUUUUCACAAGUUCUUGGCCGAGAUCGUGAGUUUUUUUAACAAAUGACCUCAAAUCAGGCAAGAAUACCCGCUGAACUUAAGCAUAUCAAUAAGCGGAGGA